AAGAAGGACCCUGAGGCCUUCAGCUUAAGCUCCAGUUCUACACUUAUGCCUAUGUUAUUCUGGAGUAGAUCCCAUUAUAUCGAUCUAAUUUUAAACAAGUUUACCUGAAAUUUAAGUAUUUGGUGUACUAGAGUUGUGCUGUAUUCUCUGCUAUACUAAAUGGAUAUUGCUAUCUUAAUUUUGGUGGAAUCAGAACACUUUCCAGUGGAUGAAGAUAGGAAAAUAGGAGCUGGAUCCAGAACUUUUCACCUCCAAGCUAUAAAACUCACCAAGAAAGAUGUUCUAUUGACUUGCCAAUGUUGGUGAUUUCUUCCAGAAGAAGACUAAAGAAGCAAUCCAGGCAAACUUUCCCUCUAUCUGGUGUGCGUAUUAUGUGGAUAGAGGACUGCAGUCACAUUGUGGGUGCUGAAUUUAAUUAUAUACACAAAAAAUAAGGAAGAUCACAGCUGGACUCUGCUAAAAUGCUAAUUCAAAACUGGCCUCCUGUUAAUCUUUUUGCUGGAGUGAUUACAUAGCUUGGAAGAGCUGAGAAAGGCCAUAAGCUUUAUAGUUAUGACAAAUUGCAAAACAGCUGGAAAUAAACAGUGGAAAGGGAA